rnacentral:rRNA from 1 species
AUUGAACGCUGGCGGCAGGCUUAACACAUGCAAGUCGAACGAGUGGCGGACGGGUGAGUAAUGUUUGGGUAUCUAGCUUAUGGAGGGGGAUAACUACGGGAAACUGUAGCUAAUACCGCGUACCAUAGGAUGAGCCCAAGUGGGAUUAGGUAGUUGGUGAGGUAAAGGCUCACCAAGCCGACGAUCUCUAGCUGGUCUGAGAGGAUGACCAGCCACACUGGGACUGAGACACGGCCCAGACUCCUACGGGAGGCAGCAGUGGGGAAUAUUGCGCAAUGGGGGCGAGCUGAGGCAGACAUGCCGCGUGAAUGAAGAAGGCCUUCGGGUUGUAAAGUUAUUUCGGUAGGGAGGCGUUACCAGCAGAAGAAUCACCGGCUAACUCCGUGCCAGCAGCCGCGGUAAUAC